rnacentral:rRNA from 1 species
AUACCCUAUUAUUUUUAAUGUAAAAUUUGAAGGCUUGAGUAGUAAUAGAUAUGAUCUUUAAACUUAAAGAAUUUGGCGGUAUUAUAAUCUUUUUAGGGGAAUUUGUCAUGUAAUCGAUAGUCCACGUUGAACCUUACUUAUUUUAUUUUCUUGUAUACCGCUGUUUAUGGGAAAUACUUUUAGGUAAAUAUUUUCUUGAUAAAUUAAUAAUUAGAAUUUCAAGUCAAGGUGCAGUAAUGGAUAAGUUGAAUGAUGGGUUACAAUAAAUUUUAUUUAAUUAAUGGAUUAUUAUUUAAAUGGUAAUAUGAAGGUGGAUUUAAUUGUAAUUUUGUGAAGAUUAUUAAAAUGAAUAUGGCUCUAUAAUAUGUACACAUCGC